rnacentral:rRNA from 1 species
AUUGAACGCUGGCGGCAGGCCUAACACAUGCAAGUCGAGCGGUAGAGAGAAGCUUGCUUCUCUUGAGAGCGGCGGACGGGUGAGUAAUGCCUUGGAAUCUGCCUGGUAGUGGGGGAUAACGUUCGGAAACGGACGCUAAUACCGCAUACGUCCUACGGGAGAAAGCAGGGGACCUUCGGGCCUUGCGCUAUCAGAUGAGCCUAGGUCGGAUUAGCUAGUUGGUGGGGUAAUGGCUCACCAAGGCGACGAUCCGUAACUGGUCUGAGAGGAUGAUCAGUCACACUGGAACUGAGACACGGUCCAGACUCCUACGGGAGGCAGCAGUGGGGAAUAUUGGACAAUGGGCGAAAGCCUGAACCAGCCAUGCCGCGUGUGUGAAGAAGGUCUUCGGAUUGUAAAGCACUUUAAGUUGGGGGGAAGGGCAGUAAAUUAAUACUUUGCUGUUUUGACGUUACCGACAGAAUAAGCACCGGCUAACUCUGUG